UCGGGUAUGGUGUAACGGCUAACAUUGCCGCCUCUCAAAUGCCCUUGCUAAAGAUACGCGGCAGCUCGGGGUUCGAUUCCCCGUACCCGAA